ensembl:lncRNA
GCAGAAUGCACAGUCCACGGAACCAAUGGCAAUGGAUGGAAUUAUAGCCAGGCCUCUGCUGCCCAUCUGGACAGCCUUUCCCCGCCUCCCCGGAAGUUAGAUGUGAGCAAGUGAUGUGGCUGUCAUCAUGGAACGUGAGCAGAGCUGACGUGGAGCAUCCACAGGCCUGGGGGGACGUGGCGGCGAGUCCUCCGUACUCUUUCUCCUUCCUGAUGGCUGGAAUCUGCACUCACAGCCACCCAGUAUCAACCAGUGACUGUGAUGGUACUGCCGAGGCGGGGGCACACAGGGCAAGGAGAGGCGCCCACCUCUUGCGCCACCCAUGUUGACAAUGUGGUGUAAGAGAGAAAUACAACCCUUUGUCUGCCUGGCCACGUGUUGCUGCCUCGCUUUGUUACAGCACUUUUCUCUGUUAUGGUAUGCUUCCUUCUAAUUGUCCUGCUCUGAGGUGUUCUUUUCCUCACAUUCCAUGGUCCUCUCUCAGAUCAGGGAGUCCGGGUUCACUAUCUAAUUCCACAACAGUAUUUAUUAAAAGUGAAG